AGUGAACGCUGGCGGUAGGCCUAACACAUGCAAGUCGAACGGCAGCACAGUAAGAGCUUGCUCUUACGGGUGGCGAGUGGCGGACGGGUGAGGAAUACAUCGGAAUCUACUUUUUCGUGGGGGAUAACGUAGGCAAACUUACGCUAAUACCGCAUACGACCUACGGGUGAAAGCUGGGGAUCUUCGGCCCUUGCGCGAUUCAAUGAGCCGAUGUCGGAUUAGCUAGUUGGCGGGGUAAAGGCCCACCAAGGCGACGAUCCGUAGCUGGUCUGAGAGGAUGAUCAGCCACACUGGAACUGAGACACGGUCCAGACUCCUACGGGAGGCAGCAGUGGGGAAUAUUGGACAAUGGGCGCAAGCCUGAUCCAGCCAUACCGCGUGGGUGAAGAAGGCCUUCGGGUUGUAAAGCCCUUUUGUUGGGAAAGAAAAGCAGCAGGUUAAUACCCCGCUGUUCUGACGGUACCCAAAGAAUAAGCACCGGCUAACUUCGUG
rnacentral:rRNA from 1 species